ACUCAAAUGAAUUGACGGGGGCCCGCACAAGCGGUGGAGCAUGUGGUUCAAUUCGACGCAACGCGAAGAACCUUACCGAGGUUUGAACUGCACGGGACCGCUCUAGAGAUAGAGUUUCCCUUCGGGGCCCGUGUAGAGGUGCUGCAUGGCUGUCGUCAGCUCGUGUCGUGAGAUGUUGGGUUAAGUCCCGCAACGAGCGCAACCCUCGCCUCCUGUUGCCAACAGAUAAUGCUGGGCACUCUGGAGAGACUGCCGGUGACAAACCGGAGGAAGGUGGGGAUGACGUCAAGUCCUCAUGGCCUUUAUGCCUCGGGCUACACACGUGCUACAAUGGUCGGUACAAAGGGUUGCAAUACCGUGAGGUGGAGCUAAUCCCAAAAAACCGAUCCCAGUUCGGAUUGGAGUCUGCAACUCGACUCCAUGAAGCUGGAAUCGCUAGUAAUCGCGGAUCAGAAUGCCGCGGUGAAUACGUUCCCGGGCCUUGUACACACCGCCCGU
rnacentral:rRNA from 1 species